AUGUAUUCCCGGGCCACCUCUGGAGGUCCAGGGAUCAAAGGGGGCCCGAGGAUCCUGAAGGUGAAGCCCUGCCCGAGGCUCCACGGCUCCCCCAGGAAGGCCUUUGUGAUGAUUAUGAAGCCUGGGCAGGCACCCAAUCCCAAGCUGGGCCCAAUCACCCACCUCCUCCUUCCCUGGAAGCGGCCAGCGAUCCCCCUGCGGCCUUGGCAAGAGACCUUUAAAGAUGCAGGUGGAACCCGGAGAAAGCCACGCAGAGAAGCCGGGCCAGUGUUUGACCAACUGUGCCUGGAACUGGGCCAGGGAGAGGAAGUUACAGAGGGUUUGCAAAAUAACUUCCCCUCGCUUCUGAAGGCAGCUUUCAGCUCUGGAAACACCUUAGCCCAGGGAAAGCCUUUAAAUACUAUGGAGCUUGUAGUAUUGGGUUAA
rnacentral:lncRNA from 1 species